UUGGAAGUAAAAGGUNGUAACAAGGUCUCCGUUGGUGAACCAGCGGAGGGAUCAUUACCGAGUUUACAACUCCCAAACCCCUGUGAACAUACCACUUGUUGCCUCGGCGGAUCAGCCCGCUCCCGGUAAAACGGGACGGCCCGCCAGAGGACCCCUAAACUCUGUUUCUAUAUGUAACUUCUGAGUAAAACCAUAAAUAAAUCAAAACUUUCAACAACGGAUCUCUUGGUUCUGGCAUCGAUGAAGAACGCAGCAAAAUGCGAUAAGUAAUGUGAAUUGCAGAAUUCAGUGAAUCAUCGAAUCUUUGAACGCACAUUGCGCCCGCCAGUAUUCUGGCGGGCAUGCCUGUUCGAGCGUCAUUUCAACCCUCAAGCACAGCUUGGUGUUGGGACUCGCGUUAAUUCGCGUUCCCCAAAUUGAUUGGCGGUCACGUCGAGCUUCCAUAGCGUAGUAGUAAAACCCUCGUUACUGGUAAUCGUCGCGGCCACGCCGUUAAACCCCAACUUCUGAAUGUCGACCUCGGAUCANGUAGNANAAANGCGACAG
rnacentral:rRNA from 1 species